rnacentral:rRNA from 1 species
UACGUAGGGGACGAGCGUUGUCCGGAUUUACUGGGCGUAAAGGGCGCGUAGGCGGUCAUUUAAGUCAGCUGUGAAAUGGUUUGGCUUAACCGGAUCAUGCGGUUGAAACUGGAUGACUGGAGUGCUGGAGAGGCAAGUGGAAUUCCCAGUGUAGCGGUGAAAUGCGUAGAUAUUGGGAAGAACACCGGUGGCGAAGGCGACUUGCUGGCCAGCAACUGACGCUGAGGCGCGAAAGCCAGGGGAGCAAACGGGAUUAGAAACCCUAGUAGUCC